UUACCAUGACAAUUUCGGCCUCCAGUCUACUGGGGGCAUUGCUGUAUUUUUUUGUACCUAUGUUGAAAGAGGAAGUCUGCUUGUCGCAACACUGGCUGAAAGGUUAAUUGAGUGGGAGGCGGUUUGAAUUUAGUGGAGCGAAAGGCAGUGCAACUUGAAGCGCCGGCUGAUGUCGAAAAGGAAAGCGGAAGAUAUCCUGUCGUGUUGUCCCGUCAGCAAACGCUUCAUCUCCUUGUUCGUGGAUUACAAGAGCGUUGAGCGGCUGCCCAGCCCCGAGCGCAGCGCCAAGAGGAAACUGCAGGCGGCCGAGCUGGAUCCGGGUCGGUUGCAGCGUGCGGAGGGUGCGAGGCACGGCCCGAGCCCCAGGGCCAGGGACAGGGACAGGGGCAGGCGGCGGCGGUGGCUGUGCCCGGCCGCAGGGCAUGCAGCAGGCGGGUGCUCUCCAGCAGCGGGGCACCAGCACCGCUCCCACCCGCGCUGCACGGCCGCCGAAUGCACCAUGGAAUGAAGUGUCUUGUGAGUACAACUCAUUUCAGUUUUGGAGAGUUCCGUUGCCUAAAAUUGAGAUAGCUGAGGUCGAAGGUGUUCGGGAAGUGAAGAUACCCGAAGAAAUGAAUUGUGACGUUCCAGAAGAGGCUGCAGAAAUGGAGGUGGAGCUCCAAAACUGAGAUUGUCAUGAAAUGUUUAAAAAUAAAAUUGUUUCCAUACAUUGUAAUGCUAAGAGUUUUCCCUAGGGAAAAGGAGAAGAUGCCAUAGGCACCUUAUGUUUUUUGUAAAAAUGUUCAUUCUUAUGACUGACAAACUGUUUUUGUGUACAGCAUGUCUUGUGCUUCACAAGGUUAAGGGAAAAUAUUAACGAAAUUCAAGCUUUUAAAGGAAUUGUACUGUGCAAGGAUAAAUGUAAAUCUGCCGUAAAAUUAUAUAUAUAAAUGCGUUUUCGUAUCUGAUUCAGAAAUUGAAAUGAUUGGAGUUAUAGAUUUCAUUUCCAUGACACCUUGUCCAGGAAAACAGCAGACUUCAGACUGUCAGUAGGAUUUAUUGAUGUUAGUUUUAAAUUGCUGUUGAAAUACUGAUACUAAAUCAAAUGCAAGAAUCGGUGUAUCGUUUCUUGGUGUAUCAUGUAUUGGUGUAGCAUUUGAAUUUUUAAGACUCCCUCCCCCAUUGAUCUUUUCUUAUUCCUUUUUUUCUAGUUUUGACAUUGGCAUCCUCCAGCAUCUCAUCCAAAUAUCCAUUUUCAUAUUUGAGCCUUGGUUGAUUCCUGAUGAGGCAUCAAAUCCGAGAAUGUUAAACUGACGUUAAGCUUUGAAGCAACAGUUUAAAGAGAAUGUUUUGGGAGAGUACUUUUUGUUCAAAGUACCUUUACAUAAAUUUUUCAAUUCCUGUGAUACCAGAAUGCACCAAUAUAAAUUGUUUUCAUCUUGAAUAUAUCCGCUAAGCUGUCGUGAUGCACUCUGCAUUCUUAAAACAACUUCAUCAGAAACAAUCGGCUCAACCCAUGAGAACCCUGGGAUCUCACGGAAAUCAUCUAAUAGGCUGGCAUUGCAAUUUAGACACCAGAUGGGUGGCUCCAAGGUAAUUCUACCUGCUCUGUAGAAUUGUGCUGGUGGAUGUGUGGGUGAAAUCUUCUUUAUGUCAAUGGAGCUACUAAGGAAUGUUUGCCACAACUAGUAUGCAAAUUAACAUUAAAAAAAAAAAAUUUCAUGAGGUCUUUAAUGUACACAAAAGAUAGAAUUUGAACAAAAACUAAUUUCCCUUCCUCACGCCUCAGAAAUAUAUGUUGACAGACAUCCAACUAAUUAUUUUGUCAAAGUGCUUAAGAAUAAUAGAACAUACUUGGAGGCGGAGAAGUCUAUUUUUGAGUUGUGUGUGUGUGACAAAAUGCAAGUACAACAAUUUAUUUUUCAGUUUAUUCAAAUUACAAAUUGGAAAAUUUGUACUUUUGAAUUUCUACUAAAAUAAUUCCUCAUGUUUGAAGUCUUAUUUGCCAAAAUAUUUUAAUUUUUGUUUGUUAUCCUUUUCUCCAUGCAACCCCCCUCCAUCCCACCUCAAACUUUUGAAUGAAGGGAGCUUGGAUUCGGAAUCAAAUUAAUUAUUCCAUAGAUUUAAAAAAAAAAUGAAAGUAGGUCAUUUGAUUCUCAAUCACAUUGGAAUAAUAAUUUCCUUUGAAGAAUUAAUUCAAUUUAAAACAUACUAUUUUGUUGUAUGGCAACGAGAUAAAAACAAGUAAUAAAACUGCCAAUCUUCAAUUACAACAGAAACAUUUUUUACAUCUUUUUUUAAAUACCUAAAGCUCAAUGACUAAAGCACUCGGCAAAUGGAAGCCUAGCUAUAUGCUCUUUAAUAAUUGUAAUUCCUAGCUGAAACAAAAUGCUUGUUAUUUUGAUAAAUUUACUCUGUGUGUAAUACACGUUCUAUCCCAGUUUUAACUAAGUUUGUCCCAACAGGCAAGAGUUUCAUCUAGGUCACAAACCACUAAAAUCAACACAGAUAGUAAACUAUCAGAAUAAUCUGCAGUGACUGUGAUCAUUUUAUGUUAGUGAUGGAAAUGUGAGUGCUUUAUCUGUUCUAGAAAUGAUCGGUUUAAUUUGCAUUAAAAAAAUCUGAACAAAAACAAGUCUGUUUUGCCCUACUGACAUGUUUGCAGUGCUACGCCACUGUUUUUCAUUUACUCAUUUAAUUUCUUUAUAAAUGCAGUGAUAACUCGGGCAUUUCAGAUUCUGAUAAGUGAACUUUAUAUCUUUCCAAUUUUUAGUAUUGUUAGUAUGUUCAGUUUUGUACCCUUUUGGGGCUGUGUUUUGAAAUGAAUAAAAUCUUGGACAUUAUAAGUUUUUAA